UAAAGAGGUUAUUUACCCUGUGUUAUUUACAAAACACCUAGUAUACAAAGAAUCUCUAAGGAAGUGAUUCUUUAAUGAUAGAAUAAAUAACCAAGGAAUCUCUCAUUCUUAACUUUGUCAGUAUUUACUUUUAGACGUGGUAUGGUUUGCGAAAGGUCUCGCGUGUGGAAUUUUCUUUAAUCAUAGCGUACAGUAUACGGCUCACUCAAGUCGAUAAGACCAAUGAAUAUGCUGGUUGGUGUGGUCGCACAUGCUGUGGCGCUGGCCUUGAGCCACAGUAAGCUGUGAAAUUUUUAACAAAGGUCUUGUAUUUUAUCUUAUGAAAAAAAGUGUCAGUGUCUAACUAAAUGUUUCACUUCUUAGAAAAACAGAAAAUAUGAAUAAUUUGAAUAAACAAAAAAAUAUCUUUAAAACUAACAAAAAGAAAAAAAAAUUAAAUUCACAAAUUUGUAAGCCCUACAAAGUAUUGCAGAAAUUAUAUGCAGCACAAGCUACUGCACAUUACCUUUUUCUUGUGUAUCAAUUGAUUGUGGUGGAAAGGUUUUCAUUUAAGGAUAUUGUUGCUAAAAUUGUAAUACCUCUUCUUGUCAGAGAAAUAUUGUUCAGCGAGUUAAAAGGUCAUUCGCACCAAUAUUCGAAUAGACUUUCAUAAGGAAAACUUUUAGAUCCCUUUCUUGAAUAUUUAUUUCGCCAUGAAAUCAAGCAUAAUGGCCAAGAUCCAUUUAGUGGAAUUUUAAAACCCACUAAAAACUGUUUCCCUGUGUGCUAAAAGAUCUCUGCCAAUUUUCUUAACAGCAUAGUUUUUUUGAAAAAAAGAAAGCUCUUUCUGGGGUUAUUGCUUAUCAAAAUAUAUAACUAUAUAAUGUAAGUAUAAUAAUACUAAUAUAUACUUUUUUAUGUGAAUUUUUACUUCUAUCAUUAUUAAUAUAUUGUUUUCUCUGCUAA